GUUAAAAUGAAUAUAAACAUGCAAAUAUGAAAAGUAGAAAAUAUGCAAAUAAAAAGAUAUUUGAAAAAUGAUUUUUUUAAAAACAAAUAAAGCAUUAGAACAUAUUCAUAUGACUAGCUGACUCAGCUCCACGGUUUAAGCAAAUCAAACGUGUGCUCUUUGCUUCUAAGUUUUUAUUGAUUACAUGGACAACUCCAGUGUUAGACAAUAACAAUGUAACUUAUUGGUAUAUGUAUGUAGUAUUGUCUUGUAAUUGUACUUUACUAAAUAAAACCAAUUUUUUGGUCACUUUUUUACUUUAACUUCACUACAUUUAACUCAAAUAGUUUAUUUUUACUCCAACACAUUAGGCAAUGUCUGUUGUUACUUUUGUAAGCUUUUGUGUGGUCCAAAUUAAUAAUUCAGAAACAGCAUGAAAUUCACAGCUACAAUCAUGCAGUUAAAUGUCAGUGCAACAGUGUGACAUUUUGCAUACAGAGACUAAAAAAAAGGUUUUUGACAUAAAAAGGUAAAAAAUAUAUAUAUAUUUCCAUCUGGAUCAAUUAUGUAUUAUAUUUAUUUGUAUCAAUUUAGAAGACAGCACCUUUUCUCUGAACCCACUCAUUUUUCUUGUGAGCAAAGGUAUUGGAAUAGAUUAACUCAAAAUAAAUUAAAGUGAAAAAGACUUUAAUAUUUAGUUGCAAAUUCUUUGCUUGCAAUAACUGCAUUAAGCCUGUGACCCACUAUCACUAAACCAUUGCAUUCUGUGAUGUUUUUCCAGGUUUUCAGCACAGCCUUUUUAAGUUGGUGUUUGUGGCCUACUCCCUUCAGCUCCUCUUUAGCAGUGGUCAGAACACAUUGGAUUGGACAUAUGUCCUGCACGUCAGACUUCAUAUCAGGUAAGUAAAUCAAGGUAAAACUAGAAAAAGAAAGGCACAAUUUAAAACCCUAAUCCUAACCAUGUUGCAGGUGCUACAGAGAUCUAGUUUAGUGAAAGUUGUAGCCAGACAGAAAAUUGUUCAAAACCUAAAGACGUGGGGUAUGAAGGCUUUGGUAAUCUGAUUAAGGUACCUACACUCAGAGAUCAGCUGCUCCAGUGGACAUAAAAACUUCAGUUAAUUUUAUUACUGCCCAAAGAAAACAUGGAGCUUCACGAGUAAUGAUAGUGUGAACACAAUGGCAUGCCUAGCGUUCACUAGCAAAACAGUCUGACCAUAGUUUUCACAGAGCAACUGGAAUAGGUUAGUACAU
rnacentral:lncRNA from 1 species